CACUAAGAAGCUACUACAGCAUUAGCCUUUUAAGCUGAAGAGGGGCAACUAGCCCCUUAGUGAC
rnacentral:tRNA from 1 species